GGGGAAUUUUGGACAAUGGGGGCAACCCUGAUCCAGCCAUGCCGCGUGAGUGAAGAAGGCCUUCGGGUUGUAAAGCUCUUUCGGCCGGGAAGAAAUCGUGCAGGCUAAUACCCUGUAUGGAUGACGGUACCGGAAUAAGAAGCACCGGCUAACUACGUGCCAGCAGCCGCGGUAAUACGUAGGGUGCGAGCGUUAAUCGGAAUUACUGGGCGUAAAGCGCACGUAGGCUGACUUUUAAGUCAGGGGUGAAAUCCCGGGGCUCAACCUCGGAACUGCCUUUGAUACUGGAAGUCUUGAGUCCGAGAGAGGUGAGUGGAACUCCGAGUGUAGAGGUGAAAUUCGUAGAUAUUCGGAAGAACACCAGUGGCGAAGGCGGCUCACUGGCUCGGUACUGACGCUGAGGUGCGAAAGCGUGGGGAGCAAACA
rnacentral:rRNA from 1 species